AUUGAACGCUGGCGGCACGCCUUACACAUGCAAGUCGAACGGCAGCACGGGGGCAACCCUGGUGGCGAGUGGCGAACGGGUGAGUAAUAUAUCGGAACGUGCCCUGGAGUGGGGGAUAACUAGUCGAAAGAUUAGCUAAUACCGCAUACGAUCUACGGAUGAAAGUGGGGGACCGCAAGGCCUCAUGCUCGUGGAGCGGCCGAUAUCUGAUUAGCUAGUUGGUGGGGUAAGAGCCCACCAAGGCAACGAUCAGUAGCUGGUUUGAGAGAACGACCAGCCACACUGGGACUGAGACACGGCCCAGACUCCUACGGGAGGCAGCAGUGGGGAAUUUUGGACAAUGGGGGCAACCCUGAUCCAGCAAUGCCGCGUGAGUGAUGAAGGCCCUAGGGGUUGUAAAGCUCUUUCGCCCGCGACGAUGAUGACGGUAGCGGGAGAAGAAG
rnacentral:rRNA from 1 species